AGAGGAGGGAGAGCGAGAGAGAGAGAGGAGAGAGAGAGAGAGAGUCCAGAAGCAGGCUGAUAUUUGCUGAGCUCCACAAAAUGGGAAAAAAGACUGCAGACCAUCAGAUCAUUAGUGCUCUCCCAUUUUCUCUCUUUUUCUCUCACACGUGGUGCUCUCUCUUUUUCUCUCUCCACCUCUCCUUAUCAUCUCCACUGCUUGUCCUCUCUCUCUCUCUCGCCCUCUCUCUCUCUCUCUCUCUCUCUC